CCCCUUCUCUUUUUCUUCUUUCCCUCCCCAGUUUUUGUGUUUCUUCCAGCUCUUGAGGACGCUGCCUGCCCUUUCUGCUAUAAGAAGAUGUCGUAUGGGUCCAUCACCAGCGGAGGUGGCCUGGGGACCCGUGGACCUUUCAGGGGAUCCUCAAGGCAAGGCUGUCAGCCUCCAGGUAAAGACACACAGCUGGCACCUAGGAUGGGUGGGCAUGGUGACAAUGGGCAGGUCUUCUCCAUGUCAUGUUCCCUGAGGAGUGUGGCCCAUGACCAGAGACUGCUGUGGCUGCUGAGCUCCAGAUGCAGGGAGUGUACAGACUGAGGGGCUGUCCUGUGUGGGGGCAGACUGUGGGGUCAGCAUUCCUGUGGGGUGAGGAGCUGGCGCUCAGUGCUGAACUGUCGAUGAUGCCUGGGUGUCUGGUCGUGGCUGAGCGCAUGAAUGAUGACAUCCAGCCUUCUUGAUGCUGCCGCGGAGCAGGUGACCAUUUGUGUAGCAUGUGGAGAAGAAAACUGAGCCCUCACUUGGGGGAUGACAGCUCCCUGGGGCUGUGCAGCUGGCGUAGGGCAGGACUGAGAUCUACCCUGACACUUCUGAGUGCCAGAGCCCUGCCUGUGUGCGUCACUGAGCUCUAGGCCCCGUCCCCUGCACCUGGCCCUGCCUUGGGCCUCAUGGCCACCUCCCUGUUCAGCCCCCUGUAGAGCUGGUGUUGGACAGGGGCUGUUGCCAGUUUUACACAUGUGGGUGUGACCUGUAAGGCACCCCUGGCUCCCUUGUUAGGCACGCCCUGGCUGCCAGGCUCAUGCGGCUGCAGUCUCUGGUGCAGGGCAACCUCAUGAGCUGCCAUCUCGAGGUGGGGAAAGACAUGGAAUUUGGGGUGCCUGAGCUCUCUGCUCACCUCCCCCGGCUCUGGGCCAGGGUUAGGGUUCAGCCUAGCGGCUACUGCAAGCCUACAUGUGUUGGGCCUGACUCCACUGAGCUUCGGGUGGGGGCUUCUCUGUGGGUUGGGGGACUCUCUUCCCUGUGGCCCUCCAGGCUCCUGGCCAGUGCUCAGUUCCUCAGGCUGCCUGUUCAGAGGAGGAGGCCAGGCAUGGGCCACCACUGGGCUUGUCAUUGACGUUUAGCUCUGCGUCUCUAGCAAAGAGUGGGGCUGGUGUCUUUCUCACUUGUGGUGGGAAGUGGAUGGUACAGGAAGGGUGAGGGUCCCAGACCUCAUCAGAAGUGGCCACCUCCCUCUUCCUCAUGGGGCCACUGCCAUACAGGACCUCCCCUUCCUCUUCCCAGAGAACAGCAGCUGCCCAGGCUCCUCCACCCUCAGCCUCCUCUUCUCCACUGCCGGGUGUUGUGUGCCAGGCUGUGUUCUAGGAGCUGGAGGCAUGGGGUAGAGGAAGCAGGUGAGCCCCAUGCCCUAGGGUCACAUUCUGCCUGGGAGAGUUUCUGAGAUCACCUCACGUGGGCACCGUGAACUGUGUGAAGAGCAAGACUGGGCUGGCUAGCCAGGGCUGCUUGAGCCGAGGAGGUGAGGGAGCCUUGGAGGUGAGGGAGCCUUGGAAUGGGGACAGUCUGUGAGCCAUCAACUGGAGCCUGGGAGGGGUGGCAGUGAGAGACGUGGGCGGAAGGGCAGCAGGACAGUGUCCAGUCACAUGCCUCCUUCCACGGGGCUGGGGCAGCCCUCAGGGUCCUCGGCAGGGUGCAGGGCGAGCGCCUUUCUGAGCCCUCGGUCUGCAUGUGUUCUCAGGGCCCUGUGUGCGGUGCAUGCUCGUGGUUCAGGUGCAGAAUUCAUCGAUCCUGGGCUUCAGAUCCGCACAUGCCCUUUCAGCCCGCCUCCCUCCCUCCGGGCCCGAGGCCUGUGCGUGUUGCUCUGUUUCCUUAGUGCUGGUUUCGAAGUGGCUUUGGGCCUUAUCGAGUGGGAUUCGUGUAGUUCUGGGACUUACUUCUCCUCUGCAUUUUGUUCCUGAGGCCAAAGGCACGGCCAGGUCUCCUUGGGCUCAUUCUCCCGGUGCUCUGCAUGCAGCUCUGCAGUGCACUGUGGCAUCUCUGCCAGCUCCAUGUCUGAGGGACGCCCAGGUUGCUUCCCUUUCCAUGCCAGCACAGACAGUGGCCAGAGUCUUCAGGGUGGAACGAGGGUGGCAGUCCUGCGGGGUCCCUGUGCGCCUGCUCUUCUCGUGCCGCCCACCCUCUUCCUCCGGCCCCACUCCAUGUCUUUGUCAGCACCAAAUGGUGUUGGACAGGGCUGUUGCCAGGCUGUUGCCAGUUCACACAUGUGGGUGUGAGGCGGUCUGUCUGGCCUCAGUCUGUUUUCCUAGCUCAGGUGGGUGACCUUUCAUGUUUACUGGGCCCUGAGGUCUUUCCUGUAGCUCAUUGCUCUUGUUUUUAUCUUGGAUUUGUCUUGUUUUUCUACAUUUCCUCUGUGUUGGGGACGGAAACCCUCAAUGACGUGCUGUGGACACCCCCGUGGGUCGUGCCUGCUGUGGGCAGGAAUUCCCACUCCUCUCGCCCGCACCACUCUCCUGUCAGUUGGUUUAAUGAUGUGCCUUUGUGUUCUCCAGGAAAGUGACCUCGUUGAUGGCGUGAGGUCGUGUGAGCAGGGAGAGGGACUCUAACGUUUUUUCCACGAUUUGAGCAGCAAAUGGUCCAGACCGUGUAUUCUGCCUUUUUCUGCAGACCUGCAGCACUGGCCAAGGAGAGCCAGUGUCCCUUGGGGCCUCUCGGUCAGUUUUCUAUUCUGGUGUUAAAUGCGUCUUGAUUUUUGCAGCUUUCUCGUAAUUCUCUGUUUUCCAGGGCAGGUUGCCCUUCUCAUUGCAGUAUAGAAAUGCCUUAUGUAUUUUGGGCUUUCUGUUAUUGAACAUGAAGUUGAGAAUCAGUGUGUCACAUUCCUGGGUUUGGCUGGCUGGCUCUGGGUCCGCCUGCCCAGGCACGAGCCUUCACGGGGACCUCCUACCCUGAGCCCACGGCAUGUCGUCUUUGGAUGUGUGGUCUUCUUUCACGUCUUUUGAUAGAGCCUUGUCAUUUUCUCCAUGAAGAUUUACAUAUCUUAAAUUUGUUUCAACAGAAGAAGAACAACAAAAACAUGCUGCUAUUUGGCUGCUAUUUUCGGUGGUACUCUUCAGAGUAUGACACUUCUCCAAAUGUUUGUUGCUGGUGUACAUAUACAGUUGUUAUUUUAAAAAGCAGCGUCCAGAGAUUUUAUUUAAUUUAAAUGUUUUGCUCUUUUAACUUUUUAAACAUGGAUACUUUCAAACAUACAAAAGUAGACAUGGUGAUGUGUCUACCCCCAGGGCAGCCUUCUGUGUUCUCUGUUGCUACCCCCCACUCCUGCCCGGCUGAGCUUGUCUGAACCUUCCCAAACCCUGACGAGUCAGGCUUCUGGUCACCUGGCCUGAACAUCUAGUUGUCUCCAGUGACAGGGUUCCAGCGCUGCAGCAUGUCUCAGCCUCGAUGCUGGGUCACUGAGUUCUCCCGUGGCUGUUCUUGUGACACUUCUGUGUACCUUCUGAGCCCAUGAUCGCCUGGGUGCCUCCAUCUCGAUUUCUUUUGCCUCGAGGUCUGUUUGCUGGAGGGAGCAGGCUUCUGUGGAGUGUGGCCGACCUCUGCCCACUGUUUUGCACGCAGCUUCUGCUAAACUCCUCUCCCUAAUGGCCGUGACUUGUCCGCGGCAUCUCCUCAGUUUCCUGUAAGAUGACGUCGUUGUCUCUUCCUGUCCCUGGCUUCAUCCUGUUUGUUUUCUUCCCUUCCUGAGUUAGCUGGAGCCUCUCUCCGAGGAUUGAUGGAAUUGGUGACUGUAGAUGGUGCCCUGACUUACGAAGGGUCCUGCCCCCAUGAGCCAUCAUGAGCGUGAAUAUGCUGGUGUUCCUCCCUGGCGUGCCCAGUCUCCCUGAGGUGCUCAGGACCCUGCAGUACCUACAGCUGGGAGCAGAUGGCCUCACACCAAGGCUGUCUUAAUGAAGUGUUGACUCCUGACGCACGGAGACUGGCGUCUGCAGACACCAGGUGCAGGACCUCAAGGCAUGGUGUCCAGAAGGCUGUGGCAGCACAGCAAUCUGUAAAGUUGUAGUAGCUUCCUUGGUGAUCGUGGGAUUGCCUGGAUCUGCCCAGAAUUGCAGGGGAGGGUCCCCUGUGUGUCACCAGCCCAGGAAAAGGUCACAGUCCAGACCUUGAUUUCUAGUAACUGCUUUCCCACUCACAGUGAAAAGUCCGGCCGAACCGUCCCGAGUCACGACCCUCAUGUAUUCCUGUGAAUUUGUGGGCACAUAGGACUGUGUGUUUCUGGGAUUUUGCUGGGAGACUGGUUUUGUUUGUAGGAGUUCUGACUUCCUGUUAAGUUCCCUUAUAGUAAAAAUCUGUUCAGGUUUUUGUUUCUCCUUGGGUCAUUUUUUUAAGUGGCAUUUUCUGGAAAAGCAUCUGCUUCAUCCAGAUGUUCCCGUGUAUUGAGGUGGAAGGAAUGUGCACAGAGCUUGUCCUGGCCAGGUGCCACGUGGGCAGCACCCUGGGUGGGCUGGAGCGCAGACUCCAAAUAGCCUGCUCUGGGCCCAGCACCAUCUGAAGGUAGCAGGCGAGUUGGCCCCUGCGCUGGGCCACCUGGGGUCCAGGUUGAGUGAGUUGCUUCCUGUGUAGCCAGGGCCUCAGGAGGCAUGCAGUGGCCAGUCGCCCUUGUUUGACUCAGGUUGUCAGUGUCCGAGUGAUGUCCCCUUCACUCCUGACAGUGUGUUCGCCUUCCCGUUUUCCUCUUUGAAAUAGGUGUACAGAUCUCUCUGUGAUGUGACUUCUUCAGAAAGACUUCAUCUUUCUGCUACUUGUUAGCUUCAAAUUUUAAUUAAUUUCUGCUUGUAUUUUCUUUAUUUUCCUCCCCUUUUCUCGAAUUGAUGCUAUUUUAUUUUUUCUGACUUGCAGAUUGGAUAUUCUUCUUGUUCAUAGGCAAUACUCAGCUUUUAUUCUUUCCUAAUAAAAGUAUUUAAAAUAAAUAAAUUUCCAAAGAGGUACACUUAGUUGAAUACCACACAUUUAAAAACAGAGUAUUUAAAAAAUUUUUUAGGGCUGGGGAUGUGGCUCAAGCGGUAGCGCGCUUGCGUGGCAUGCGUGCGGCCCGGGUUCGAUCCUCAGCACCACAUACAAACAAAGAUGUUGUGUCCACCGAGAACUAAAAUAAAUGUUAAAAUUCUCUCUCUCUCUCUCUCUCUCUCUAAAAAAAAAAAAAUUUUUUAGUUCUAAAUAUUUUCUAAUUUCAAUUAGGAUUUCUUUGACCCAGGGAUUAUUUACAAAUAUUACUAAUUUCUAAGCAUAUGUAUUUUUUUUCAUGUCUUUUAAAAGUGAUUUCUAGUGUAAUUUCAUUUCCAUCAGAAAAAGGCUGGUGUUGUCUUGACAUGUUGACUUCACACUGGGGCUUUGUCAGGGUGCUGGUGGGGUCUUAGCUCACUCUUUGGUGCAGUCCCCUCUACCAUGGUUGGUCUGUGAAGGCUUCGGUGGGGCUGGCUGAAGAGGCCCAGUUACUUCCAGGCAGGACAGCGGGGAGACAGACAGCUGNGCAGGACAGUGUCCAGUCACAUGCCUCCUUCCACGGGGCUGGGGCAGCCCUCAGGGUCCUCGGCAGGGUGCAGGGCGAGCGCCUUUCUGAGCCCUCGGUCUGCAUGUGUUCUCAGGGCCCUGCGUGCGGUGCACGCUCGUGGUUCAGGUGCAGAAUUCAUCGAUCCUGGGCUUCAGAUCCGCACAUGCCCUUUCAGCCCGCCUCCCUCCCUCCGGGCCCGAGGCCUGUGCGUGUUGCUCUGUUUCCUUAGUGCUGGUUUCGAAGUGGCUUUGGGCCUUAUCGAGUGGGAUUCGUGUAGUUCUGGGACUUACUUCUCCUCUGCAUUUUGUUCCUGAGGCCAAAGGCACGGCCAGGUCUCCUUGGGCUCAUUCUCCCGGUGCUCUGCAUGCAGCUCUGCAGUGCACUGUGGCAUCUCUGCCAGCUCCAUGUCUGAGGGACGCCCAGGUUGCUUCCCUUUCCAUGCCAGCACAGACAGUGGCCAGAGUCUUCAGGGUGGAACGAGGGUGGCAGUCCUGCGGGGUCCCUGUGCGCCUGCUCUUCUCGUGCCGCCCACCCUCUUCCUCCGGCCCCACUCCAUGUCUUUGUCAGCACCAAAUGGUGUUGGACAGGGCUGUUGCCAGGCUGUUGCCAGUUCACACAUGUGGGUGUGAGGCGGUCUGUCUGGCCUCAGUCUGUUUUCCUAGCUCAGGUGGGUGACCUUUCAUGUUUACUGGGCCCUGAGGUCUUUCCUGUAGCUCAUUGCUCUUGUUUUUAUCUUGGAUUUGUCUUGUUUUUCUACAUUUCCUCUGUGUUGGGGACGGAAACCCUCAAUGACGUGCUGUGGACACCCCCGUGGGUCGUGCCUGCUGUGGGCAGGAAUUCCCACUCCUCUCGCCCGCACCACUCUCCUGUCAGUUGGUUUAAUGAUGUGCCUUUGUGUUCUCCAGGAAAGUGACCUCGUUGAUGGCGUGAGGUCGUGUGAGCAGGGAGAGGGACUCUAACGUUUUUUCCACGAUUUGAGCAGCAAAUGGUCCAGACCGUGUAUUCUGCCUUUUUCUGCAGACCUGCAGUACUGGCCAAGGAGAGCCAGUGUCCCUUGGGGCCUCUCGGUCAGUUUUCUAUUCUGGUGUUAAAUGCGUCUUGAUUUUUGCAGCUUUCUCGUAAUUCUCUGUUUUCCAGGGCAGGUUAGGUUGCCCUUCUCAUUGCAGUAUAGAAAUGCCUUAUGUAUUUUGGGCUUUCUGUUAUUGAACAUGAAGUUGAGAAUCAGUGUGUCACAUUCCUGGGUUUGGCUGGCUGGCUCUGGGUCCGCCUGCCCAGGCACGAGCCUUCACGGGGACCUCCUACCCUGAGCCCACGGCAUGUCGUCUUUGGAUGUGUGGUCUUCUUUCACGUCUUUUGAUAGAGCCUUGUCAUUUUCUCCAUGAAGAUUUACAUAUCUUAAAUUUGUUUCAACAGAAGAAGAACAACAAAAACAUGCUGCUAUUUGGCUGCUAUUUUCGGUGGUACUCUUCAGAGUAUGACACUUCUCCAAAUGUUUGUUGCUGGUGUACAUAUACAGUUGUUAUUUUAAAAAGCAGCGUCCAGAGAUUUUAUUUAAUUUAAAUGUUUUGCUCUUUUAACUUUUUAAACAUGGAUACUUUCAAACAUACAAAAGUAGACAUGGUGAUGUGUCUACCCCCAGGGCAGCCUUCUGUGUUCUCUGUUGCUACCCCCCCACUCCUGCCCGGCUGAGCUUGUCUGGUCACCUGGCCUGAACAUCUAGUUGUCUCCAGUGACAGGGUUCCAGCGCUGCAGCGUGUCUCAGCCUCGAUGCUGGGUCACUGAGUUCUCCCGUGGCUGUUCUUGUGACACUUCUGUGUACCUUCUGAGCCCAUGAUUGCCUGGGUGCCUCCAUCUCGAUUUCUUUUGCCUCGAGGUCUGUUUGCUGGAGGGAGCAGGCUUCUGUGGAGUGUGGCCGACCUCUGCCCACUGUUUUGCACGCAGCUUCUGCUAAACUCCUCUCCCUAAUGGCCGUGACUUGUCCGUGGCAUCUCCUCAGUUUCCUGUAAGAUGACGUCGUUGUCUCUUCCUGUCCCUGGCUUCAUCCUGUUUGUUUUCUUCCCUUCCUGAGUUAGCUGGAGCCUCUCUCCGAGGAUUGAUGGAAUUGGUGACUGUAGAUGGUGCCCUGACUUACGAAGGGUCCUGCCCCCAUGAGCCAUCAUGAGCGUGAAUAUGCUGGUGUUCCUCCCUGGCGUGCCCAGUCUCCCUGAGGUGCUCAGGACCCUGCAGUACCUACAGCUGGGAGCAGAUGGCCUCACACCAAGGCUGUCUUAAUGAAGUGUUGACUCCUGACGCACGGAGACUGGCGUCUGCAGACACCAGGUGCAGGACCUCAAGGCAUGGUGUCCAGAAGGCUGUGGCAGCACAGCAAUCUGUAAAGUUGUAGUAGCUUCCUUGGUGAUCGUGGGAUUGCCUGGAUCUGCCCAGAAUUGCAGGGGAGGGUCCCCUGUGUGUCACCAGCCCAGGAAAAGGUCACAGUCCAGACCUUGAUUUCUAGUAACUGCUUUCCCACUCACAGUGAAAAGUCCGGCCGAACCGUCCCGAGUCACGACCCUCAUGUAUUCCUGUGAAUUUGUGGGCACAUAGGACUGUGUAUUUCUGGGAUUUUGCUGGGAGACUGGUUUUGUUUGUAGGAGUUCUGACUUCCUGUUAAGUUCCCUUAUAGUAAAAAUCUGUUCAGGUUUUUGUUUCUCCUUGGGUCAUUUUUUUAAGUGGCAUUUUCUGGAAAAGCAUCUGCUUCAUCCAGAUGUUCCCGUGUAUUGAGGUGGAAGGAAUGUGCACAGAGCUUGUCCUGGCCAGGUGCCACGUGGGCAGCACCCUGGGUGGGCUGGAGCGCAGACUCCAAAUAGCCUGCUCUGGGCCCAGCACCAUCUGAAGGUAGCAGGCGAGUUGGCCCCUGCGCUGGGCCACCUGGGGUCCAGGUUGAGUGAGUUGCUUCCUGUGUAGCCAGGGCCUCAGGAGGCAUGCAGUGGCCAGUCGCCCUUGUUUGACUCAGGUUGUCAGUGUCCGAGUGAUGUCCCCUUCACUCCUGACAGUGUGUUCGCCUUCCCGUUUUCCUCUUUGAAAUAGGUGUACAGAUCUCUGUGAUGUGACUUCUUCAGAAAGACUUCAUCUUUCUGCUACUUGUUAGCUUCAAAUUUUAAUUAAUUUCUGCUUGUAUUUUCUUUAUUUUCCUCCCCUUUUCUCGAAUUGAUGCCAUUUUAUUUUUUCUGACUUGCAGAUUGGAUAUUCUUCUUGUUCAUAGGCAAUACUCAGCUUUUAUUCUUUCCUAAUAAAAGUAUUUAAAAUAAAUAAAUUUCCAAAGAGGUACACUUAGUUGAAUACCACACAUUUAAAAACAGAGUAUUUAAAAAAUUUUUUAGUUCUAAAUAUUUUCUAAUUUCAAUUAGGAUUUCUUUGACCCAGGGAUUAUUUACAAAUAUUACUAAUUUCUAAGCAUAUGUAUUUUUUUUCAUGUCUUUUAAAAGUGAUUUCUAGUGUAAUUUCAUUUCCAUCAGAAAAAGGCUGGUGUUGUCUUGACAUGUUGACUUUUCACACUGGGGCUUUGUCAGGGUGCUGGUGGGGUCUUAGCUCACUCUUUGGUGCAGUCCCCUCUACCGUGGUUGGUCUGUGAAGGCUUCGGUGGGGCUGGCUGGAGAGGCCCAGUCACUUCCAGGCAGGACAGCGGGGAGACAGACAGCUGUGGAGGGACAUGCCUGCAGGGUGAGGACAGCUACAUUUACCCAGUCUCUGCUGGGCACCGAGGUCCUGUUUCCCCAUCCGUAAUUAUGCAGCUUUAGGGCUUGUUCUCCAUUGAACUGUCUGGUCCCAGAGCAGCCAGCUUGGGGCGCCCGGAAUGUUCCCUCUCUCAGCCUCUUUUUGGAUUCCGUCUUAGGGAAAAGUCAGUGAGGCAGGCAGAGGUGCUCACCAUAGCAUGGUUUCACAGUGCCAACUCAGAAAGACUGUACGUACCAGUGCAGGGGUGCGGUCCACUAAGUGGCAGUCCAUAAUGCAGUCUGACACCUCACGAAAACCUUAGUGUAGUGGGGCACUGGCACAACCGAUGUGACCCAGCCACUUGGGAGUGAAGGCAAGAGGGUUGUGAGUUCAAAAUUAAAAGUAAAAAGAGGCUGGGGAUGUAGCUUAGUUGCAGAGGGUUCAAUUCUUAGUACCCCCCUCCCCCGCAAAAAAUUAAAAUAAACCACAGUGUUGAAGGACCUUGAGUGAUUUGCUAUGUGUUACAAUUAGUGACAAAUGUGGUAAAUAAAAGAAGCAAAGCCAUAUACAGUAUUUUAACAGGUUAACAUUUAUCUGGGGAUAUCUUUUUUUUUUUUUUUUUAAUUUAUAGUUGUAGAUGGACAGCAUGCCUUUAAUUGUUUUAGCUUUUUAUGCGGUUCUAAGGGUUGAACCCAGUGCCUCACACAUGCUAGGCAAGUGCUCUGUUACUGAGCUACAGUCCUAGCCCCAUCUGGGGAUAUCUUGGUUGCAAAUAAUUUAUUUUUAAAUUCAUAAUUGUCUGCAUUUUUAAAAAAGUAUUUAUCUUUAUUUAUUUUUGUGUGGUGCUGAGGAUUGAACCUAGUGUCUCACAUGUGCAAGGUGGGCACUGUACCACUGAGCUACAGCCCCAGCCCUAAUUGUCUGCAUGUAAUUUGUAUUAUUCUACUCUAAAACAAUAAAUGUCCCAGGCUUGUCCACCCCCAAGUUCAAGGUGUGUGUGAUUCAGGUGAUCACACUGGACCAGCCCUUGUAGGGGUGUUUGGGGGAUCCCUGUGAGAUAAUGGGCCCUGCAGCCUGGCUGGGGUGGCCGGGUGCCGGCGUGGUGAGAUGCGUGAUGGUGGGGGCGCAGGCAGGGCAGUGUGGGUCCCCACUGCUGAGCAAAUGGUGGUCCCAGUCACUGAGCGUCUGUACCUCCUCUGGGCAGUGACUGCUGGGUGGAGACUGUGUCUUCUGCAGGGAGAGCGUGGGAAGGGGGCCCUGCAGGUUCUCAGACACUAGGCGUAGGUCCGGGCAUCACCCCCGUCUGUGAUUGGCCAGGGCUGCGUCUGUGGCCUUUCUCCCCAGGUGUCCAGAGCAUUUGCUCUUACUCUGUCUCUGAAGAUCACCUGGUGCGGUUCUUUGUCCUGUGGGAGCCUCCACCCCUAGAGCAGCUAGAUUGCAUCCUUCCCUCUCUCCUCCCUGACUUAGCUGUUUCUCUGCUGUGGCUAAAGGAUCUGACCAGAACAACUGUAGAGGCUCACAGAGGUCUUAGUCCAUAGAAGGCUGGCUCCAUUCCUCAGGGCUUGAGGGGAGGCGGAACAGCAUGGUGGAAGAGUUGGCAGAAGGAAGCAGCUCACAUGUUGAUCAGGAAGCAGAGAGAGUUUCUAUCCCCCAGAUACAAAAUAUAUACCCCAAGGCCAAGUCCCACCUCCUCCACCCAUUCCCUACCACUCCAGUUACCACUCAGAUAAUCCUCAUUAAGGGAUUAAUUCACUGAUUGGGUCAAGACUCGCAAUCCAAUCAUUUCUCCUCUGAACCUUCUUGCAUUGUCUCACACAUAAGCUUUUGGGGUACACUUCACAUCCAAACCAUAAUACUGCCCUCCUGGCUGGUCUCCUCGUCCCAAGGCAGAACUGGAGUAUGUGUGGCCAUUUCUGGACAGUGAGCCAGGAGGCCUGGGUCCCCUCGCAGAGUCUGUAAGACCAGGGUAGCUUGGGGCAGUGCAGCCCUCAGGCAGGUGUACGGUGGAGGAGGCACAGGGAAGGUGGCCUCUGCAGAAGGGCCUGGGUGGACUUUCCUCCUGCCAGAGAGGCCUCUUCUUGGUGCUUCUAGGGAACUGGCCAGGGGGACAGGGCAGAGCUGUUGGUCUUGCAUGCUUCUCUUGAGGGGGCUUAGGUACCUUAAAAAAGUCUGCCCCGAAAGUCUUCCAGCAUUGGGGGCUGUGCCCCUGCCUGUGGGAAGCCCACCCUUGCUCCUACGGAGCUGAGUAUUUUCUUGGCAGCAGACCGGGCCCUUGCCUCCAGGAAGCCACAGCUUGGAGACAAAGCUCACGGGUAGGGAAAGACAGGGAGGCUCUGGUGCUGCUUGCUGGCCUGGCCGGGGCCCCGGUGGGCUGGGGCGGGAGGGCUGUGGCACACUGGGUGGCAGGGGAGCGUACUGCAAAUCAGGCUUUCUCUCCUGCUGCUGCCAUGCUCCAGCGUGGGCAUGGAGGCCAAGGCCAGUGCCCACUGGGCUCAUGAGGCUGUGCUUUGGCAGGCGGCCAGGUGUAGAUGGCACUCUGGCCUUUUGCUGGCAAGGGCUGUUCUCAGGCAGGGGUUGUCCUAGGGGUAGCCCCAGCGGGAUGGACAGGGCCCAGGGGUGGCUGUCCCUGCCUUUCUGCCAUGGUGGUGAAGAAGAAGGGAAGACAGGCAGGCCAGUGGAAGCUAGGGGGUCUUGAACCCAGGACUCUGGGUGCCCAGCAGGGAGGUAGUCAGGAGCAGGCAGCUGUGUCCUGAAGCAGCAACCACAGAGGAGGCGCCCUGGGAGCUCUGCCGAGCUGCCACCCCCGCCAGGUCCAGGGGCCUAAACACCCGCUUUGGUGCCUUUCCAGGACUAGGCGCUGCCUCCAAGGGCCGCCGGACCCUGGAGCCCGCCUCGCCCCCUGCCUCUGGCCCGAGGAAGGACCCUGCUCUGGGGCCCCCUGGCCGGAGGGCGGGACCGAGUGCCAGCCGGGCCAAGAAGAGGAAGCCCAACUUCUGCCUGCAGGAGACGGAGGUGCUGGUGUCCAAGGUCAGCAAGCACCACCAGCUGCUGUUUGGCACGGGGCUGAUGAAGGCCGAGGCCACCCGUAGGUACCGUGUGUGGAGCCGCAUCCUGCAGGCCGUGAAUGCCCUGGGCUACUGCCGCCGUGACGUCGUUGACCUGAAGCACAAGUGGCGGGACCUGCGUGCUGUUGUGCGGCGCAAGCUGGGCGACCUCCAGAAGGCCACCCCUGAUCCUGGCCUGGGCUCCGGCAAGCCACAGGCCUUGGCCCUCACACCUGUGGAGCAGGCAGUGGCCAAGACCUUCUCCUGCCCAGCCCUGCCUGCCGAGGGCAUUGGCCUCGAGCUGCCCAAAGGUGAGUUCCUGGGCCAGCUCGCCCUCCAGACCUGUGCGGUGGCCAGAGGGAGGGUGGCUGCACCUUGGCCGCAUUGCUACACCUUCCUCCACAGUGGUCUCCUCCCUGUCCAUGUCUUCCUCUGUCCCACUGUUGUCAUUCAGAAUGUCCUCGUUCAUUGUUCGUUGCCCCACUCCCUCGUUCACUUAUGCCUGUUCAUGAUGUUCAGACAUCUUUAAUGUGCCAAGGUGCUCAGAAGUGGGUGGUGACUGCCCACCUAGCUCUUGCCAGGGCCCGCCUUGCCCUGUCCUGGAGCCACGCGGAGCACAGGGACAAGUGAGCCUACUUCUCUUCUCCCAGUCAUUUAGGCAGUCUCUUCAAUGUGAUGGGAGUAAGAGAUGUUGGGAUCGUAACCACUGCUGAGUUACAGGAAUUUCAAAGCUGGAUAUUUUGCUGCUUUUUCCUGUCCUAUUCAUUUAAAAAAAAAAAAAUGCUCACUGUGACUUGCUAAGUUGGUUCAAUGACCUGGUUUCAGAGCUGUAAUGUGAGAUAAUGCUGCUGUGUGAUGGUAUUUAUUUUUUUAUCUAGUUAUUAUCAUGGAUUAUACCCAGGGGCACUUAACCACUGAACCACAUCCCCACCCCAUUUUGUUUUUUUAUUUAUAAGUUGCUUAGGGUCUUGCUAAGUUUCUGAGGCUGGCCUUGAACUUGAAAUCCUUCUGCUUAUUUAUUUUUAAGAGGGGGCCUGUUGCUGUGUUUGACAGGUUGGCUCUGAAUACCUGGGCUCAAGCCGAUUUCCAGUCUCAGCCUCCAAGUGGCUGGGAUGCAGGAGGGUGCCACCGUACCCUACGCUAUGUCCCUGCCCGUCAGAGACCUCAGUCCUGGUGGAUUCAGCCUCCUGCAUUAUGGUGGGCAGGUUGAGACCUGGGGGAAGGGUUUGCCUAGGGCCUUUCUUGGAGCACCCAGAGGGUGUAACUCUGGGGGCAAAUGACAGGUUGGGGAGGUCAAGAGAGGUCAGUUAGGCCUGAAGUCCAGGAGCUCUGAGUGGGGCCCAGAUAUGUGCAGGUGUGGGUGACUCCUAGGCCAUGGCAGCAGCUGCUGUACUAGGCCAGGAAGGAGUUGUGGGCCCUGCAGAGGAUCCCAGUUGUGGAGGGUCGAGGCCCUGUUCUGCAGGGCCUGCAGUGUGAUAUCGGGUUACAAUGUCUCCAGAGCUCAGGGCUGUGGCUGGAUGACCAUGACGGUCCCUAGUGUGUGUGCUCAGAUCUGCUCUGCCGCCCAGGGGCGUGUGCAGUGAAGACGAGGUGCCCCGUGCCGAUGCCUGUGGCAGAGCUGGCAGCCUGCACAGUGUCUGAACAGGUGCUCCAGGCCCCUGGCCUGAGGGUGGGCCUUGGAGAGCUUUGAAACCAGGUCCUUAAAACAGGUAGAGAACUUAAGACUUGUGAAGAUGGUGCCAUCUGACUAGCAGCUGGCAUGUGUACUGUCCCCUUCUCCGAUACCACCCUGUGCUGGACAGUCUUCUGGCUGCUGUUCCUUGUUUUCUGCAGGACGUGGUGUCCUGGAAGCUGUAGGACCUGCCCGUGUGCUGUCAGGUGGUGGGGGCCCUGGGAUCUCUGAGGGCAAGGUCUGGAAAGGUCCCUGGGUCCAGACUGUGGGGCCCUCACUUGCUUCCUGCAGAGGUGAGGUUGAGGGGCUGCCUGAGGCCACACAGCCAGGGUCUUGCUAAGUUGAGCUGGUGCUGGGCCUUUGGCAGGCACCACAGUCUCUUAUUUUAUUAUUUUAUUUCUUAAAUGAAAUAAUAGUCACACAUCAGAAUUCACCAUUUCACCCUUCUUACGGUGUGUAGUUCAGUGGUUUUCAGCAUAUUCUUGCCGUCAUGCGUCUGUCACCUCCAUGUAACUCUAGAGCAGAUCUUGUCACUUGCAGGCAGCCCGUGCUCUCUAGCAUCCGCUUCCUGCCCCUGGCCUUGCAUGAUCUGGCUCUUCUGUGGUGGCACCUCCCAUGCACCUUCAUGUUGCUGGUGACUCUUCCAGCCUCAACCUUCUCUUCUGGAGAGUGGGAUUGAGUGCUCCGCAGUCGGUGCUGUUGGCGUUUUGGGACAGUCUUCACAGGGCGGUGCUUCUACUUAGACGGGGAUUGACACCUAGGAGUUGAAUUGCGGCUUUGACCACCAGCACACUGUUUUUCCCAGUGCUUGUACCUGAGCAGUGGGAGCGAGCGCACUUGCUCUCCACCCUUGCCAGAGCUGGCGUCGUGGGACUUCGGGGGUCCAGGCACCGUGGGUGGUGAGGACUGGUGUCUGGUUGGUUGAGGUUGGGUUUGCCUUUCCCUGGUGUGGAGCGUCCUGCUGUGUGUACUGGCUAUUUGUAGUGUCUAUUUGAACCCAUCGCAGUGUGAUAUCGGGUUACAGUGUCACUGAGCUCAUUAUUCUGAACAUUAUGUUAUCUUGUCACGUGUCUGAAUUUGAAUAUUUUCUUCAGACUGUGGCUUGUCUUUGUUUUUGCAGGUGAAAAGUCUCACUGUUUGAGCAGUUUCUCCCUCUGUGCCUUUGUUUGUGUCCUGCCUCAUAAGUCUUUGCCCACUCCCAGGCUGUGAGAAGUCCCUGCUGCUCUAAGUGUAGAAGUUCUGGGCCUCAGGCUUCUGCACUUGAACCUGUGACGCACACUGAGUCAGCGUUGUGCGUGAUGGGUUUGGGUCAGUUGGGUUUUAGGUGCUGGGCUGCUUUGCUGUCUCUGUCUCAGGCAGAUGGCCGUUCACUUGGCUGCCCACUUGCUUCCGUCUAUCUGAAUGUCUGUUGGAGUAAGUUGUAGGUUAAUCCCGUGAGACUGCCAGAGACCCCAAGUCUCCUCUCUGCUGGUCUGCAGUGGCGCUCCCCUCCUCUCCUGGGGGCUGGCUGCUCUGCAUUGGCUCUUUUGUCCUUGGUUAGUCUGGUUUAAGUUUGUGGUCUUAGAAUUAGUCUGAUGUAAAUGUACUGAUUUUAUUCAUCAUUUGAGAGAACCUGAUUAUAUUGAUUUUCUCUAAUGUCUAUUGAAUUAUGUUUGAUCAUCUUUGUUUUUUGUUCCUUUUGUUUAUUUAGGUUCAUUUUGCUUUUGUUAGAUAAUCGACUUAGGCCCAUUCUUAUUUUCUAAUAUGUUUGUUGCUAUAAACUUUCUUUUUUGCAUUGCUUUACUUAUAUAAAUAUGUCACACUUUCAUUUCAUUCAUUUAAAAUAUUUUCUGGUUUCCCCUGUGAUUUAUUCUACGUGGCGUUCAUUUAGAUGUGUGCUGUUUAAUGUGAAGUAAUGAUGUAUGCUGGCAGAUUUCUUUUUGCUGCUGAUCUCUAGUUAAUUCUGUUGUGUUCAGAGAAUGUAUUUUUCAUGAUGUCCACUCUCACAGAUAUGUCUGUGGCCUUGCUGUCUGUGUGUCCACCUCGGCGCGUCCUCCAGGUGCGCUGACUUGUGCAACAGGGCACCCCCCAUGUGCGCUCAGGUUGCACUCAGAGGCGUGUUCUCCUCACCUGAGUCCUUGCCCAUUUUUUGUCCACAACUGUUGACUGGGGGUGCAGGGUUGGGGGUCGACUCGGGACUCCGCUGUGGGUUGAGGUUCCUUCUUGCAGUUGUCAGUUUGUGCACCUGUGUUUCUGGGGCUGGGGGAUGCGGGUUCCCGUGUGUUUGGGUCUGUUUUGUCUCUUCUCCAGGUUGCAGGUGUCCUGCCUUUGGCUCUACCUGGGAGGAGUGCAGCUGCUCUGGCUCCAUGCGAGAGCUUUCGAAGACGUGAUCUUGCGUAUCAACAGCAGGGCUUUGGAGUAGUUGUACAGUGGAGUCUUCCCUUCCUCUGAUUGGACAGUCUCUGUUUUCUGAUUGCAGUGGUUGAGAUGUGCUGUCCGCCAGAGCCUCUGGAGAUAGCGGGAGUGUUGUGCUGUGUGCACACGUGGCUGUGGCGGCCGAGGAACUGGAUUUAUAAUGGUAUUCAAUCGCAGUAUAGUUCAUGCCAGCUCUCUGCCCCGGCUGGCGGCUCGGGCCUGGCCGGGCACGUUGGCUCCUUUAUCUUUAGUGUGAUGCUGUGUGUUUCUGUUUGAAUCUGCCGCCUUGGUGUUUGCCCCCUGCAUUGCCCUUCUGUCUCUCUCCCCUGCCCCUGUCCUGGAGUAGUGAGUGCUGCUCAGGGUUGGUGUCACUUCUCUGACCCACUGCAGCUUCCCCUGCCUCCCUGUGCUCUGCAGUCUGGAGUGGCUUCAGUCUGGGGGGUCUGGGCUGGCCCCCUUUUCUCCAUCAGCCCUAAACUGUCCUCUGCCCCGAAUGAGAGCGGCUUAGGUGGGAAUUGUGUGGCUCCUUUGUCACAUCAGAGAGUGGCCACCUAUGGCUGUGUGACCUGGGAGGGCAAGGGGCAGAGAGGAGGACUGCCCUUCCACACUUUGUGUGCUGAGGAGGUCACUCCACAGCACAUCCUCUCUUAGUGAAUGCUGACAUGCGUGUGUUGGGUGAAGGGCAUCUGUGCUGUUGAGGCAGAGACCCACAGGAGAUGGGGCACGUGUCGCUCCUGUACCGCAGUCCAGCCAGGCCAGGUGGGCAGUGUGCGCCCUCUCCCCAAGGGUGCUGUCCUUCAUCUGCGUGGUCACAGCAGAGUUGCACCCCACGGCAUCCCAGCCAGGACAGGAGGACUGAGUGAGAGGCAGCCGUCGGGUGGCUGUUUCUUUUAAGCGUGUGAGAGGGAGCUCGCACACUUCACUUCUCAAAUUCUGGGGUGGUGGGUCAUGGGGAGCGAGAGUCAACCUCUUUGAUUGCAAGGGAGGCUGGGAAAUGCCCACAGCUAUGUGGCUACAUGCCCAGGAUUUCAGAGCGAUGGCCCACAGUGCCCUAGCUUGCAUGGCCAGGCGGUCUCUGCCAGUGUUCCCUGUGGUGUUGCUCUUGUCUGCUGAGAUGGGGACUCUGCACAGGUGUCCUCCCCAGAUUUUGGUGGAGGGCAAAGAGCCAAUCCUGGGAUGGACGCUGUAGCUGUCUUUGCUCUGUGUCUGGGCCUUCGGGCCUCCAUCUUCAUCAUCAACACACAUCUCUCCCCUCCUGUGAUGACUGCACCCCGGGGUGCCAGCUGGCAACCCUGCCUUGGCUCUGCAGUCCGGCCCUCCUGUUUUCCCUGUGAUCUCAUUCUCCGGGUCCCCCAGCAGGGUCAGAAGUAACCCAGUGCUUCUGCUGUGUGCCCAGAUGCCUGUGCUCCCCCUGGGGGCAGGGCCUCCUGGGCUGCCCACACCUGUGUUCUGCAUCAGGCCUUGGCAGCUUGGACCCUGGACCAGAGCUGGGUUGCACACCUCUCCCAUGCCAGCCAGGACACACUGGACGGGUCCACGACCUCCAGCUUGCUGGGCCACCAGGGCUCUGCAGUGACCGGGCGGCUGCACAGAACUUAGAGAGCCCCAAGAGCCGUGUGCUCCUGGGUGUAGCCAGGCUGGCCCCUGGGCUCUCAGCUCAGCUUUCUGGAUGCAGGCCACCCCCCAUCCCCCAGCCCUGGGCUCAGUGUCCUUCCACCACAUGGACACCUCUGAUAACGAGGCAGAUGGUGUCUGCCCUCGGUGCCAAGCUCUGCCCUAUGAAGGCCGGCCUCUGGCCCUUGUGGGGAGUGCUGAUCCAGCCCUGUGGCUAUGGAGCCUUGUUGCUGUCUCCCUGGUUGCCUAGAGGCAGCAUCUGCAGCCCGCCCAGCCACUGCAUGCAGGGCUGUGUGCCUGGAAGAUGUGUUCCUGUGGGAGCGGCAGUGCCAGCACCAGGUACUGUGUCGGCCAGGGCCGAGCUAGUGAGCCACAACACUUGCUGGAAGAGGCUGUCCCAGCCAUGGCCUUCAGAAAAAGAAAAGGGUGGGGAUGGAUGCUGCCCUGUAGCCUGGGGAGGGUCUGUCCCCUCCGGCAUAAACUGCCAUGUCACCUAAACUUGGGUCUUGUGGAGAGCAAGGGUGCUUGGAGCCAAAGAGCUCCUUGGUUUCUUUUUGCAGACAAUAAAAAAUGGGAGUGGCUGUUGUCUGCGCUUUCGCUCCAUGUCUUUGUGUAGGAAAACUGUCAUGAUCCCCCGUCCACAGCUGAGAACUUGAGGCUGUGAGAGCCCCCGUGACAGGUCCCAGAACCCAAGCCUGUGGAUGGCAGGCUGGGUUUGGGAGGAGAUCUCAGGCUUGGAGGGGCCUCCCCAAGGGGGUGUGUGUGGCAGUGGCGUGUGGUGGAGUCCUGCCUCCUAGAGCACUGCCAUGGGCUGUGGGGCUGCCCCUGCACGCCUCACCACACCACACUCACAGCCACUGAGGGCUUGUCUUGGAGGCCAGGAGGCAGCUUCUACUGCCCCAGUGAUCUUGCUACAGUUCUGCCCCAAGUGCCCUGCCUUGGCAGAUGGGGACCGUGAGUGUUUCCUCUCCAUGUUUCCUUACUGGUCAGCGGUCACUCCUCCUACUGCACUCUUCAGCUGCCCUCUGUUCUGCCUCGGCUGCCACCUGCACAUGUUGGUGCCAUGUCGGCCACAGGGGUGGCCAGGACUGACCAAGCUGGGUGGGAGGGAGCUGGAGCCGCAGUGAGCCAAUACAGAGGAGUGAGGCUUCCUUGAGGCAGCAGAGGCAGGCAGUCAUGAGCGGAAGGGGGCAGGCGUCUCUGGAUGAGGGGGCUCAGGAGGACUUGUGAGGGUAAGGGCACAAGGAACUGUCCUCAACCGGGAGGUGCUAGUGAGAACUGGCCCAUCUGGAAGGCAGGUCUUGUCAGGCUUCUCAGGCUCCCUGUCCUCCAUAGUAAGUCCUCAUCUCCUGGAGGCUGACCACAGCACAGGGCCUGGAGCUGACUUUGACCACCAGGAGAAGGCACGGUCAGCCUUGACCAGAAGGGCUGUGUGGACUUUGGCCUGGGCCAAAGUGAAGGUGGGCUUUGAGGAGACCCAGGCAGAGUGGCACAGCCCAGGGAUACAUCGGAAGGAAAUGUCAGGGCUACCAGGUAAUCUCCCUGGCUUUGUGGUGUGGAAGGGUUGCUACCUCUCCCACCCUGCUGGGGAGGAAACUGGGCUGGGGCACUGGACCCCUGCUAGGACUGCCACCUGGGACUACUGGCUCAGCUGGGGAACAGCCCCCCUCGCCCUUCGGUCCUGCUGUGGCUCUUCCUGUGUCUGACUCUACUUCUGAUGCAGGUUGGACCUGGUGGCCAGCAUGGCCACUCUAGUCGUAAGAGACAUUUAUCCAUCGCCUGCAAAGACCUGUCCAGGCCUGCAGGUGUGCAGCAUGAGUGCUGUGGGUGUACGGCACUGGGUCUGCUGGCAGACAGGGUGGGAGGCGGCCUGGAGGGCUCCCAGAUCAGGGAUAGUGGGGUGGCCAUGGUGAAUCGUGCGUCCCUGCUCUGAUCCCUGGUGUUUUAGUCAGUUUUUUUUUUUCUGCUGUGACUAACAGAUCUGAUCUGAACAAUUAUAGAGGAGGAAAUGAUUCCAUGAUCUCAGAGGUCACAGUCCAUGGACAGCUGGCUCCAUUCCUUGGGGCUUGAGGUGAGGCAGAACAUCACAGUGCAAGAAUAUGGCAGAGGGAAGCAGCUCACAUGAUUAUCAGGAAGCAAAGAGAGAUUCCACUCACCAGAUAACAAAAUAUAUACCAAAAGCCAUGCCCCAAUGCCCACCUCCUCCAGCCAUACCCUGGCUGCCUUCAGUCACCCUCAAUUCAUCCCCUCCAGGGGAUUAAGUCACUGAUUGGUUUAAGGCUCUCAUAACCCAAUUAUUUGUCCUCUAAACCUUCUUGCAUUUUCUCAAGGGUACCCCACUGGUCACUUCUCAAGAGAAUUUUUGGUUUUACCUCCUUGAAUCUGAGAAGUGUAUGGUCUUGUCAGCUCCUGAGAUGCCCUGAGGCCAUCUUUCUCCUUGUCUCUGGGCAAAGUCUUUCGCAUUUCUUUAGUGGUAGUAAUGUUUUUAAAAACUGCAACUUACUUAGUCCCAGUUUUACCCUCACCUUCAAGUUUUUUUCAAGUGUCCUAAUUAUCACAAUAAUUUGGCUAAAAGCCUCCAACAAUAUCUUAUGCUGAAUGCUAUGUGUUCUCUAGAAAUUUCCUCUGCCGGAUUAAAAAGUCCACUGUUUUUAAAAUCAGUCUCACAGAAUGUCUCAAGACACAGGCAAUAUGCAGACAACUUCCCAGCCAGAACGUGACAUAAGUAGUGUCCUUCUUUUCCUCGAAACCUCUUUGAGUCCUAUCUUCAUUAUCCAUGGUACUCCUGCUGUUCUGGUCUUCUGAGCUCCCCCCACAAUUGGCCAUUAAGUUCCACUUACCACUUCUAAACCAUUUCCAGCUUGUACUGCUAAGCAUCUCAAAAUUCCUCCCACCAAUUCCAGAAAGCUCCAAAAGUUUCUGAACCAUACAGUCAGGUUAGUCACAGCAUCAAUUUCUGUUCUACUCAGCUUUUUCACUGCUGUGAUUAACAGAUCUGACCAGAACUAUUAUAGAAGAGGGAAGGUUUAUUUGGGGGGCUCAUUCAGAGGUCUCAGUCCAUGGAUAGCGGGCUUUAUUCCUUGGGCUUGAGGUGAGGCAGAACAUCAUGGUGGAGGAAUAUGACAGAGGGAAGCAGCUCACAUGAUGAUCAGGAAGCAAAGAGAGAAGUCUUCACUUGCCAGGUACCAAAUAUAUACCCCAACGCCACACCCCAAUGUCCACCUCCUCUAGCCACGUCCCACCUGCUUUCAGUUACCAAUCAAUUAAUCCCCACCAGGGGAUUAAUUUACUGAUCCGUUAAGGCUCUCAUAACCUAAUUAUGUAUCCUCUAAACUUUCUUGCGUUUUCUCACACAUGAACUUUUGAGGGACGUCUCACAUCCGAACCAUAACACCAGAGGUUCCUUAGCAGUGAACAGUGCCCGGCAGUGUUGCCUCAUGAGUUGGCUGAGGGGUGGCAGUGAGGAGGAUGCCUGAUCGCUGGGGUCCUGCCUCCUCCCAGGACGGGUGCUCUUUGUACAGCAGCUCUGGCCACCCCUCCUCCUCCAGCCCUGAAUUGAAUCCUGCAGAAUGGACAGCCACCUUGGGCCUUGGAGCCUGCCCACGUGACUAUGGUAGUUCAUGCACAAUACUUUGGCUGAAAGCCUCCAACAGGUAAUUUGGAAGGGGCAAGGGCAGCCCCCAGGACUGGAUGGUUGACAUUUUCCUUCCCGAGGUCAGACCCCCUUUCUGGUGGUGUGACCUUGGGUGGGUGGUGUGGCCUUGGGUGGGUCUCCUGCUUCUGCCCUGGGUCUCUUUAUCUGUAAGUGGGGAGAGUGGCACUCUGGUUGUUGGGCUCCUUCUGUGUGCUUCUGCUGGAGAGUGGUGGUCCCUCCUCCACCAUGGGCACAGCUCAUCCUGUCCUGUCCCUUUCUUUGCUGCCCUGGCUGUGUCCAUCGUGAGCCUGGGCUUGGUGAAGGCAUCGCGGGGCUCCAGCGCCUUGCAGGUGCAGCAGUGGUGUGUGCAGGGUUGUCAGACGCUGUUUCUCAGGCCAGCGACAUGAGUGGAGCAGCCUCGCUGUGCUUCCAGGCUGUGCUGAGUACAGCAGCUGGACCUGGGGGCUUGGCAGGGGAGGGACGUGGCAGGCCUGUGAGCCUAGGAGCUGGUGCCUCAGCAGGGUGUGCUCAUUCUAGAGAGGCAGGGCCGACCCUGCCGUGGUCCAGCCAGCCCUGUGACUCUGUGGAGUGGGCUUGGGCCUGUGGCCUAGGGAGAAACCUCGUCAAGCCCAGGAGGGGGUACUUUGUUCUAGGCUCGUAGGCUGGCUCAGAGAGCGCAGACCUUUGGGUGUUCCCUGUGCUAACCAGCUGCUCAUUGCUGUAACCAAGAACAGCUAUCAAGGACAACUUAGAGGAGGAAAAGUUUACUUUGGCUCUGGGUUUCCGAAGUCAGCCAACUGCAUUGCUCUGGCCUGAGGUGAGGCAGGACAUUAUGGCAGAAGGGAGUGUCAAAGGGAAGCUGCUCAGCUCUUGGUGGCUGGGAAGCAGAAACAGAAGAGGAGCCAGGAGGAUAAGAUAUAUCCCUCUAGGGCACAUCCUCUUCCAGGCACACCCCACCUGCCUGUGGUCAACGCCCAGUAAUCCAUUCACAUUAUUAGUCCACUAAGUUACAGCGCUAAUUUAAUCUCACCAUUUUACUUCCUGAAUUAAUACAGGAGCUUGGGGGGGGGGGACAUCUCACAUGCAAACCAUAGCAUUCCACCCUGGCCCCCCAAAGCUCAUGUCCAUCUCACAGUGCAAAGUACACUUAGUCCAUCUCCAAGAGUCCCCAUAGUUUAUAUUUCCAGCAAAAGUCCAAGGUCUCCUCUGAGACUCAAGGUAAACUCUUGCUUGUGAGCCAGUGUAAAAAUCAAAAGCAAAUUAUAUAUAUCCAAUAUACAUUGGCCUAGGAUAAAUAUUCCAGUUCCAAAAGGAAGGCUCAGAGGCCUACAAAGAAGGCUGGGACCAAAAGAAGAUCGAAACCCAGUUAGGCAAAAAAGUGCUGUAGCUUCCUGUCUGACUUCUGGAGCACCCAGUGGUGAGAUCUCCUCUCCGCAGGGUUAGGCAGCCGCCUCCGUGGCCUUUCUUACCCACGUGGCUUCUCUAGGCCUGUUCUGACCACAGCCAGAGCCUUCCUUGGCAGGUGUUGCAUGUUAUUGGAUCUCCUGGGGGUAUCCUGGGGGUCUCCUGGGGGUAUCCUGGGGGUCUCCUGGGGCGUCUCCUGGGGGGGUCUCCUGGGGAUCUCCUGGGGGUCUCCACUACAGUUUGUGCUUCAUUGUCCUGGCUUUGCACAUGGUCCUCUCAGGGCCAGCGGCAGGGAUUCUGACCCUGCUGCCCUUGUCCUCUCAGGCUUUCCUUUGAAGUCCAGGGGAAGCCUCUGGGCCUCCACCUCCAGCAUUGUGCAUUGCUGCAGAACCAGCUCCACAUGGAUGAUGCCAAAGUCUGCUGCCAGGUUAAGCAGUAGCUGGGUUCCCUUGGACCAUGGCUACAGUGUCCUGGGAGUGCCUGGGCAGCCAAACCCCGUGAAAUGAAUCCUGGGGAAACAGCUUUCUAGGUCCCCUGUGAAAGCAGGGUGCCUUUGUGAUCUCUUUCACUUCUGCACCCUUGAACCUGCCAUGGGCGUGGUGUUCUAGUUCCUGAGAUGGCCUCACAGCAUUGUCCUAUUGUCUCUAGGCAAAGUACUUAGUUUCUCUUUAGUGGCAGUCAUCUCUUCAACACCCACAUCUUCCUGAGCCCUAAUAUUACGUGUUCCUUUGGCCAAACUGCAAGUUUUUCAGAUCUUUUCUUUCUGCCUUGUGUUCUUGAUUCUUCUAGUAAACCUGGCUAAAAGCUGCUGGCAACAUCCGAGCCACUGCCUCAAAGCUGUGGUUUUAAUUUUAAUGCUGCCUAAGUUUCCUUCCACCAGAUUAGUGAGUCCACCAACUGUAAGUUCAGCCUUACACAAACUCUCAGGACAGAAUGGAGACAACUUUUUUUGCCAGAAUGUAACAUGAACAUCUCUAGUCCAGUUCCCAAUGGAAUCCUCAUUCCCCUCUGCAACUCCAUGAGCGUAGUUCUUACUGUCUGCGUUCCUAUUGGGGUUCUGGUCCUCUGGGCUCCCACCAGAAGCACUUUAAGCUCUGCUCACAACAUUCAGAGCUUUCUCCAGCCUGCAUCUCUAAUCUUUUCCAAACUCCUCCUAUGAACAAGUUCCAAAGGCUUCUGAACCAUAUGGUCAUGUUAGUCACUGCAGUGACCCUACUCCUGGUACCAGUUUCUGUGUUAGUCAGCUUUCCAUUGCUGUGAACAGAAUACAAGGACAGUUUAGAGGAGGAGAAGUUUAUUUGGCUUACAGUUUCAGAGGUUCCCAUGGCUAGCCAAGUCCAUCGCUCGGAUCCCCAGGUGAGGUGGGGAGCAUCAUGGUGAAGUGCACUGUGGAGGGAAAUUGCUCACAUCAUGGUCGCUGAAGGAAGGAGUAGUCAGAGGACAAGAUAUGAUCCCCAAGGAUACACCCCCUGGUGGCCUACUUUUCCCAGCCAUGCCCCAUUAUUAAUCCAUCAAGUGAAUUAAUCCGCUGAUGGGGUUAUCGCUCUUAUGAUUCAUUAUUUCCCCUGCUAUGUCAACACAGGAGCUUGAGUGGAUACCUCAUAGUUGAACCACAGCAACCCAUUGGCAUCCUGGUGUCUCCUGCCCCACAUGCCCUGGCAGACCUCGCUCCGUGUCCUUCAGUCUUAAGUGUUUUAUCUUGGAGACUUGUGAGCGCAGAGAAGGUGGAAAGGGUUGCAGUGUGACCAUGGGUGCACCACUGCCUAGAUCCCACCUGCUGCCAUCCCAGCUGGCCCUCCUCGUGCCUCUGAGCCCUUUGGAGCAGCUGAAGCCCUCGGGUCUCCUUUCACUUCCUGGUUACUGCCUCUCCUUUCCUUUUGAGGUGAACUUUAAGUGCGUGAACUGCAGGCAACCAAAUGGUACUAUUCUGGGCCUUUUGGCAGAUGCCUGCACUGUGUUGCCCACAGCCCUGUCCAGGCACGGGGCCUCCCCUAUUCAGCAAGUCCCUGGUGCCCUGCCCCAGCCCAGCCCAGCGUAGCCCCAGCCACCAUAGACUGCUUUUCUCUGUUGGAGAUCUGACCGUGCACUCUGACGCCUGGCACAGUGUCACGCCCAGGGCGCCCCCGCAGGCAGGGCACACGUGCCUGCCAGUCUCCUGCAUCCCCUGCACUUGCACCUUCCAGGGUGGGCUCUUAGGAAUAGCUGCCACGGACUCUCUUACCCAGGGUUCCUGCGGCCUCGGCUUUGUUUCUCUGUGUAGGUGUCCAGAGUGUGAUGGCUGGCCGCAGGGCAGCAGGUGUCCUGGUGUCUGUGGCCGAGACCUUCGUUGCAUGGCUGCACAUUGCACAGUCACCCAGCAGUGCGCAUCUGGACACUGUCUUCCCCAGCACUUGGAGUUUCCCCACGUCGAUUUCUGUGGUUUUGUUACAUUGAGAUAAAAGUGCUUAGCACAAAGCCUAUGAUGGACUCUUAAAGUAUGCUAGUCACGGACCCUUGGUGCGGUCACAGGGUUGUGUGGCCAUCUCCACCUUCCCACUGCAGAGCGUGUCCAUCCACCGGGGCAGCUGGGCCUGUGCUAGCGUCACCGCCCCCUCCCAGACUGCUGGCAGCCGCCGUCUCCAUCUCUGUGGGCUGCCACCUCUGCAUGUGUGGUGUGAAUGGGAUCACACAUUUGGUGGCAUCUGUCCCCAGCCUGGUGUUUGGAGGACUCGUUCCUCUUACUGCUGAGCAGUGGAGCAGUACUCUGCAGUGUAGCUAGGCCCCGUCUUUGUCCUUGCUGGUGGCCUGACGGCAUGCGGGAAGUCUCCUCCUUCCCACCUAGCAGCGCUGCUCUGAGCCUUCUUGUGUGAGUCUUGUGUGAAUGGGAGUCCUUAUGUGCGUGCCCAGGAGGCUACUGCUGGGGUGCGGAGCCUCCACGUCCCCUCUCCUUGAGGAGCCGCCUCUCCCCCCAGCUUGGGUCCUGGGAGGGCAGGGGUGGUAUUUGUCCUGACCCUUUGCCUGUGGAAGCAGAGCUGGAAGGCAGGAGGGGUGGCGUGCAGGGCAGCUGGGCCUCUGGCUCCCUCCUCUGGGAACCACCUGGAGAGGCUGGAGGGGCCGGUCAUACAGGCAGCAUGGUCAUCUUGUGCCUCCUCUUCUCCUGUCUUCCUCUAGCCACACAGGUUGUUCCUCGUGACCUCCAGGAGCUGAGCCAGGAGACCUCAGCCAGUGUCUUCCAAAUCCACUCCAAUGGUAUGCCAUCUGCCUGCCCCCUCUCUCCUGGCUGCUCUGGGUCACUGAGGUGACAUCGGAGGCUAGCUGGUACCUGACCUUGCCCUGCCCCUACUGUCCUGCCUUCCACAGUCCCAGGUUCUUGGGGGCAGCUGGGGGCUGCUUGCAUGUCCAGUCAGCUCUUCUCCUCCUCGAUCCUGUCCCACCCUGGCUCUCCUCACUGGCUCUGUGGCUGUAGGGAUCCCUGGGAGGAAGGAGUGAACCCCGAUGGCAGGGCUGGUGGAACAGAGAUCACUGAGGCUAGGAUGGGGAGCAAGAGCCACACCCCAGACAUCCCUGGGAGAGGGACAGGCCUUCCCCAGGCCCAGGUGGGCUUGCUCUGGGUGGACUGUACCUGGGCCUGGGCCUGCUCCGGCACAAUAGGGGAGAAGGUCCUGUGGGGGUUGGGUAGGCCUCUGCUAGGAGGGGUGGACCCAGCCUGUAGGAGGCUGCUGUGCCCUGGUGUCAGGUCACAUAGUGGUCUGGCUGUCUCUGAUGCAGGGCCCAGUUUCCACUAUGGCCACGCAGAGGGCAAUGGGUUGGGGAGGGUCCUUCUAAUCCUUGUGCUUUUCCCAUCUUUUGUUGGACAGUGACCUCCUUGGAGAGGAGCCUCCGGUCCUUGGGGACACCGAGUGACACACAGGAGCUUCGGGAUAGCCUGUGAGUGGCAACUGCCAUCCCUGCGCCUGUGCAUGGUGCCGCACACAUGCAGCUUCACCCUAAACUGCCUCUCCUGAGACGUGAGCACCCUCCCCCGGUGGGCGUCUAGGUGGAGUGGACGCUGCUGAGACACACACCUGUGCUCAGGUGGUGUGCGUGCCAGCUCGCACACGCUCCGUGUCACCAGCAUGCUCCAGGGGGUCUUUGCAGUGCCCCAGGCUCACUGACAGGCCUGCACAUAUGUGCACACCUGUGGACACACAGG
rnacentral:lncRNA from 1 species